UCCCUGAGGGAUAGCUCAGUUGGUAGAGCAUGAGACUCUUAAUCUCAGGGCUGUGGGUUCAAGCCCCACAUUGGGUGAA
rnacentral:tRNA from 1 species